rnacentral:SRP_RNA from 1 species
GCCGGAAAGUGGCGUGCUCCUGUAGUCCCAUCUACUCAGGAGGCUGAGGUGGGAGGAUUGCUUGAGCCCAGGAGCUUUGGGCUGUAGUGUGCUAUGCCAAUUGGGUGUCCGCACUACGUUUGGCAUCGAUAUGAUGACCUCCUGGGAGCAGGGGACCACCAGGUUGCCUAAGGAGGGGUGAAUAGGCCCAGGUCAGAAAUAGAGCAGGUCAAAACUCCCGUGCUGAUCAGUAGUGGGAUCACACCUGUGAAUAGCCACUGCACUCCAGCAUGAGCAACGAGACCCUGUAUCU